UACGUAGGGGGCAAGCGUUGUCCGGAAUCAUUGGGCGUAAAGAGCGUGUAGGCGGCCUGACAGGUCUGCUGUGAAAACUCGAGGCUCAACCUCGAGAUGUCGGCGGAAACCGUCUGGCUAGAGUCCGGAAGAGGAGAGUGGAAUUCCUGGUGUAGCGGUGAAAUGCGCAGAUAUCAGGAAGAACACCUAUGGCGAAGGCAGCUCUCUGGGACGUUACUGACACUGAGGCGCGAAAGCGUGGGGAGCAAACAGG
rnacentral:rRNA from 1 species